AGGCCAAAAAAAAAUAUGUGGGUUUCCAGUUUCUUCUUAUAAAAACGUAGGUAGGGUAGGUCGGUUUUAACUUUUUUUUUAAACUUUUUUUUUAAUUUUCCGAACAAGCGGACGCCAUUUUGUUUAGUCAGUGCUUCCACAUCCAAAGAUAAAUUUCCCUAAUAUUGCCUCAAAUUUCAAUUUUCCACAAACUUUUUCCUCUAAGUGGAAACACUUACAAGCAUGAUCCAAUAAAAAGUUUAGGGUCGGGAUUUCGACGUGCAAAAGCUAGGUAGGGUCGGGAAACCGGAAACCCACAUAUUUUUUUUUGCCCU
rnacentral:lncRNA from 1 species